AGCAAUACAUUGCUGGCGACCGGCGCACGGGUGAGUAACACGUAUCCAACCUGCCUUUACUCGGGGAUAGGCUUUCGAAAGAAAGAUUAAUACCCGAUGGCAUAAUAUUUCCGCAUGGGAUUAUUAUUAAAGAAUUUCGGUAAAAGAUGGGGAUGCGUUCCAUUAGGCAGUUGGCGGGGUAACGGCCCACCAAACCUUCGAUGGAUAGGGGUUCUGAGAGGAAGGUCCCCCACAUUGGAACUGAGACACGGUCCAAACUCCUACGGGAGGCAGCAGUGAGGAAUAUUGGUCAAUGGGCGGAAGCCUGAACCAGCCAAGUAGCGUGAAGGAUGACUGCCCUAUGGGUUGUAAACUUCUUUUAUAGGGGAAUAAAAUGAGCCACGUGUGGCUUUUUGUAUGUACCCUAUGAAUAAGGAUCGGCUAACUCCGUGCCAGCAGCCGCGGUAAUACGGAGGAUCCGAGUGUUAUCCGGAUUUAUUGGGUUUAAAGGGAGCGUAGGUGGACAUGUAAGUCAGUUGUGAAAGUUUGCGGCUCAACCGUAAAAUUGCAGUUGAUACUGUGUGUCUUGAGUACAGUAGAGGUGGGCGGAAUUCGUGGUGUAGCGGUGAAAUGCUUAGAUAUCACGAAGAACUCCGAUUGCGAA
rnacentral:rRNA from 1 species